GACAGAGGUGCCAAGCGUUAGGCGGAAUCACUGGGCUUAAAGGGCGCGUAGGCGGGUGCUCAAGUCCGGGGUGAAAUCCUCCAGCUCAACUGGAGAACUGCCUCGGAUACUGGGUGCCUCGAGGGUGGUAGGGGUAUGCGGAACUAUCGGUGGAGCGGUGAAAUGCGUUGAUAUCGAUAGGAACUCCGGUGGCGAAGGCGGCAUACUGGACCACAUCUGACGCUGAGGCGCGAAAGCCAGGGAGCAAACGGG
rnacentral:rRNA from 1 species